rnacentral:rRNA from 1 species
GACGAACGCUGGCGGCGUGCUUAACACAUGCAAGUCGAACGGAAAGGCUCCAGCUUGCUGGAGUACUCGAGUGGCGAACGGGUGAGUAACACGUGGGUAAUCUGCCCUGCACUCUGGGAUAAGCCUGGGAAACUGGGUCUAAUACUGGAUAUGACCUUUCUCCUUGUGGGGUUUGGUGGAAAGUUUUUCGGUGUAGGAUGAUCCCGCGGCCUAUCAGCUUGUUGGUGGGGUGAUGGCCUACCAAGGCAACGACGGGUAGCCGGCCUGAGAGGGUGAACGGCCACAUGGGGCCUAAGAUACGGCGCAGACGGCUACGGGAGGCAGAAGGGGGGAAUAUUGCACAAUGGGCGGAAGCCUGAUGCAGCGACGCCGCGUGCGGGAUGACGGCCUUCGGGUUGUAAACCUCUUUCAGCAGGGACGAAGCGUAAGUGACGGUACCUGAAGAAGAAGCACCGGCUAACUAUGUG